rnacentral:rRNA from 1 species
AUUGAACGCUGGCGGCAGGCCUAACACAUGCAAGUCGAACGGUAGCACAGAGAGCUUGCUCUCGGGUGACGAGUGGCGGACGGGUGAGUAAUGUCUGGGAAACUGCCUGAUGGAGGGGGAUAACUACUGGAAACGGUAGCUAAUACCGCAUAACGUCGCAAGACCAAAGAGGGGGACCUUCGGGCCUCUUGCCAUCAGAUGUGCCCAGAUGGGAUUAGCUAGUAGGUGGGGUAACGGCUCACCUAGGCGACGAUCCCUAGCUGGUCUGAGAGGAUGACCAGCCACACUGGAACUGAGACACGGUCCAGACUCCUACGGGAGGCAGCAGUGGGGAAUAUUGCACAAUGGGCGCAAGCCUGAUGCAGCCAUGCCGCGUGUAUGAAGAAGGCCUUCGGGUUGUAAAGUACUUUCAGCGGGGAGGAAGGCGAUAAGGUUAAUAACCUUGUCGAUUGACGUUACCCGCAGAAGAAGCACCGGCUAACUCCGUGCCAGCCGCCGCGGUAAGAC